rnacentral:rRNA from 1 species
UACGUAGGGCGCAAGCGUUGUCCGGAAUUAUUGGGCGUAAAGAGCUCGUAGGCGGCCAGUUGCGUCCGCUGUGAAAUCCCGGGGCUUAACCCCGGGCGUGCAGUGGAUACGGGCUGGCUGGAGGCAGGCAGGGGAGAACGGAAUUCCUGGUGUAGCGGUGAAAUGCGCAGAUAUCAGGAGGAACACCGGUGGCGAAGGCGGCGACCUGGGCCAAUAUUGACGCUGAGGUGCGAAAGCGUGGGGAGCAAACAGG